UGUCCAAGGUUAAAGAAAACAUUUUCUUCUCUAUAAACCAUUUCAAUAGGCAUGAACUGAGGAUAAGAGACAUAUUCUCACCACUAUGUCGACCCGAAACAUGGAGGAAAUUGAUAAUUCUCUUCUGUAUUUCCCAAUCAUCAUCUUCCCAAUGUACUGUGACACACAUGUAGCCUUUAUUCUGAUUUGAUGUCCACAUGUCCAUAGUAGCACUCAUGCGACAAUUGAGGGUUUUGAAAUACUUAUACAACACAUCCUUUUCAUGCAAGUAGAGUUCCAGAAUUUCUUUCCUAAUAGUGACACGUGACUUCAUAGGAAAGGUAGGCUUCAAUGAUUUAAUGAAUUCCACAAAGUAUUCAUGCUCAGCAAUGUUAAAUGGAUACUCAUG
rnacentral:lncRNA from 1 species